CUACGGGGUGCACCAGUAGGGAAUAUUGGGCAAUGGGCGAAAGCCUGACCCAGCCAUGCCGCGUGUGUGAUGAAGGCCCUAGGGUUGUAAAGCACUUUCAAUGGUGAAGAUAAUGACGGUAACCAUAGAAGAAGCCCCGGCUAACUUCGUGCCAGCAGCCGCGGUAAUACGAAGGGGGCAAGCGUUGUUCGGAUUUACUGGGCGUAAAGCGCGUGCAGGCGGUUUGUUAAGUUAGAUGUGAAAGCCCAGGGCUCAACCCUGGAAUUGCAUUUAAUACUGGCAAACUUGAGUAUAGGAGAGGAGAACGGAAUUUCCAGUGUAGAGGUGAAAUUCGUAGAUAUUGGAAAGAACACCAGUGGCGAAGGCGGUUCUUUGGCCUAAUACUGACGCUGAGGCGCGAAAGCGUGGGGAGCAAACAGGAUUAGAUACCCGUGUAGUC
rnacentral:rRNA from 1 species